CCGGCACGGGUGAGUAACACGUAUCCAACCUGCCGUCUACUCUUAGCCAGCCUUCUGAAAGGAAGAUUAAUCCAGGAUGGCAUCAUGAGUUCACAUGUCCGCAUGAUUAAAGGUAUUUUCCGGUAGACGAUGGGGAUGCGUUCCAUUAGAUAGUAGGCGGGGUAACGGCCCACCUAGUCAACGAUGGAUAGGGGUUCUGAGAGGAAGGUCCCCCACAUUGGAACUGAGACACGGUCCAA
rnacentral:rRNA from 1 species